AUGAAAACGAGGACCAAGAGGAGUAAAUUAUUAACCGUCUAAAGCGAAUUUGGGUUGAUGGGAGCCAAAGAGAUAGGUGAUAAUUGAAAAGAACUUGUGAGUAACUUUUGGAAAUGCUGAUUGGCAGAGUAUAUUAGUUCGGGUAAUUCCGUUAACAAUACGAGUUGGUUAGUUUAUACUAGCAAUUAGGGUGGUACCGCGUUUUAAGACGUCUCUAUU
rnacentral:ncRNA from 1 species